UGAAUACGAGAUGCUACGGCGUCGAAGCAGUCUAUGUCAUACUUCCAAGAAAAGCUUGCACUGUCAUAAACAAAUAAUGCCUGUACCAUAACCGACACAGGUGGGUAGGUAGAGUAUACUAAGGGGCGCGAGAUAACUCUCUCUAAGGAACUCGGCAAAAUGACUCCGUAACUUCGGGAGAAGGAGUGCCUUAUUUAUAAGGUUGCAAUAACAAGACCCAAGCAACUGUUUAUCAAAAACACAGGUCUCCGCUAAGUCGUAAGACGAUGUAUGGGGGCUGACGCCUGCCCAGUGCCAGAAGGUUAAAGAAGUUGGUUAGCAUUAGCGAAGCUGAUGACUGAAGCCCUGGUGAACGGCGGCCGUAACAAUAACGGUCCUAAGGUAGCGAAAUUCCUUGUCGGGUAAGUUCCGACCCGCACGAAAGGCGUAAUGAUUUGGGUACUGUCUCAGAGAGGGACUCGGUGAAAUAGACUUGUCUGUGAAGAUGCGGACUACCUGCACCUGGACAGAAAGACCCUAUGAAGCUUUACUGUAACCUGAAAUUGAAAUUGGACUUUAUUUGCGCAGUAUAGGUGGGAGGCUUUGAAGAUAUUCUUGCGGGAAUGUUGGAGCCAUCAGUGAGAUACCACUCUUGUAAUGUUAGAUUUCUAACUUUGUAUCAUUAUCUGGUCAAAGAACAGUUUCAGGCGGGCAGUUUGACUGGGGCGGUCGCCUCCUAAACGGUAACGGAGGCGCACAAAGGUUUCCUCUGAACGGGUAGAAAUCGUAUCUAGAGUGUAAAGGCAUAAGGAAGCUUGACUGUGAGACCUACAAGUCGAGCAGGGACGAAAGUCGGUCUUAGUGAUCUGACGGUGCUGAGUGGAAAGGCCGUCACUCAACGGAUAAAAGUUACUCUAGGGAUAACAGGCUGAUCUCCCCCAAGAGUUCACAUCGACGGGGAGGUUUGGCACCUCGAUGUCGGCUCAUCGCAUCCUGGGGCGGUAGUACGUCCCAAGGGUUGGGCUGUUCGCCCAUGAAAGCGGUACGCGAGCUGGGUUCAGAACGUCGUGAGACAGUUCGGUCCAUAUCCGGUGUAGGCGUUAGAAUAUUGAGAGGAGCCUUCUCUAGUACGAGAGGACCGAGAAGGACACACCUCUGGUGUACCAGUUAUCGUGCCAACGGUAAACGCUGGGUAGCUAUGUGUGGAGCGGAUAACCGCUGAAAGCAUCUAAGUGGGAAGCCCACCUCAAGAUAAGUAUUCUCA
rnacentral:rRNA from 1 species